rnacentral:rRNA from 1 species
AAUUGGAGGGCAAGUCUGGUGCCAGCAGCCGCGGUAAUUCCAGCUCCAAUAGCGUAUAUUAAAGUUGUUGCAGUUAAAAAGCUCGUAGUUGAAUUUCGGGAUCAAUAUUUCGGUCAUGCCGUUGGUAUGCACUGUUAUCAUUGAUUUCUCACCUUCUAAAGAACCGUAAUGCCAUUAAUUUGGUGUUACGGGGAAUUAGGACUGUUACCUUGAAAAAAUUAGAGUGUUUAAAGCAGGCUCACGCUUGAAUACAUUAGCAUGGAAUAAUGAAAUAGGACAUCCGAUUCUAUUUUGUUGGUUUCUAGGAUCGAUGUAAUGAUUAAUAGGGAUAGUUGGGGGCAUUAGUAUUCAAUUGUCAGAGGUGAAAUCCUUGGAUUUAUUGAAGACUAACUACUGCGAAAGCAUUUGCCAAGGAUGUUUUCAUUAAUCAAGAACGAAAGUUAGGGGAUCGAAGACGAUCAGAUACCGUCGUAGUCUUAACCAUAAACUAUGCCGACUAGGGAUCGGAUGAUGUUAAUUUUUUAAUGACUCAUUCGGCGCCUUACGGGAAACCAAAGUGU